CCCAGUUUCCCAGAAUCCUCCUGCCUCUCUACGUUACAGCAGAAAGUGAAAAUUGAAAGCAAAAAUAAUCCAUUACUGCGAUAAAGAGAGUCUCCGAAGUGAAGGUCACUUUUCAAAUCUAAUUAUAAAGAGGCCUCAGACAAUUGUAUAUUUCUUCCUGAACAAUAGAAACUGGAGCUCAGACCACAAUUUUCAGAGUAUCCAGCCUUUGAAUGGUGCUUCUGUCUCUCUACUCUGGACAACAUCUCUGAACACUGGAAA